rnacentral:rRNA from 1 species
GAGUUUGAUCCUGGCUCAGAACGAACGCUGGCGGCGUGCCUAACACAUGCAAGUCGAACGUGAUCCAGAGCUUGCUCUGGUGAAAGUGGCGCACGGGUGAGUAACGCGUGGAUUACCUACCCUGGUAUCCGGGAUAACAUUCCGAAAGGGGUGCUAAUACCGGAUAAGCCCACGGGCUCUUUGGAGCUUGCGGGAAAAGGUGGCCUCUAUUUAUAAGCUACUGUAUCAGGAUGGGUCCGCGUACCAUUAGCUAGUUGGCGGUGUAACGGACCACCAAGGCGACGAUGGUUAGCUGGUCUGAGAGGAUGAUCAGCCACACUGGAACUGAGACACGGUCCAGACUCCUACGGGAGGCAGCAGUGGGGAAUUUUGCGCAAUGGGGGAAACCCUGACGCAGCAACGCCGCGUGAGUGAUGAAGGCCUUUGGGUCGUAAAGCUCUGUCAGAGGGGAAGAAAUGAUAUAGUGCUAAUACCACUUUAUCUUGACGGUACCCUCAAAGGAAGCACCGCCUAACUCCGUGCCAGCAGCCGCGGUAAUAC